UACGUAGGUGGCGAGCGUUGUCCGGAUUUACUGGGCGUAAAGAGCGCGCAGGCGGUCGUACAAGUCGCGUGUGAAAGCCCCUGGCUCAACUGGGGAGGGUCACGCGAUACUGUUCGACUCGAAGGCAGGAGAGGGAAAGUGGAAUUCCCGGUGUAGUGGUGAAAUGCGUAGAUAUCGGGAGGAACACCAGUGGCGAAGGCGACUUCCUGGCCUGUUCUUGACGCUGAGGCGCGAAAGCUAGGGUACGCAA
rnacentral:rRNA from 1 species